UACAGAGGGUGCAAGCGUUAAUCGGAAUUACUGGGCGUAAAGCGUGCGUAGACGGUUACAUAAGUCGAGUGUGAAAGCCCCCGGCUCAACUGGGGAGGGUCAUUCGAUACUGAUCGACUGGAAGGCAGGAGAGGGAAGCGGAAUUCCCGGUGUAGUGGUGAAAUGCGUAGAUAUCGGGAGGAACACCAGUGGCGAAGGCGGCUUCCUGGCCUGUUCUUGACGCUGAGGCGCGAAAGCUAGGGGAGCAAACGGG
rnacentral:rRNA from 1 species